rnacentral:pre_miRNA from 1 species
AUAACAUUAGGAUCGUCGGUCUACAGAGCAAAACACCCGCUCGGUGGAAGAUCUUCCUUUGUCUU